rnacentral:rRNA from 1 species
AUACAAAAUGACUCUCGGCAACGGAUAUCUCGGCUCUUGCAUCGAUGAAGAACGUAGCGAAAUGCGAUACUUGGUGUGAAUUGCAGAAUCCCGUGAACCAUCGAGUCUUUGAACGCAAGUUGCGCCCGAAGCCAUUUAGGCAGAGGGCACGCCUGCCUGGGUGUCACAC